UACGUAGGGGGCAAGCGUUAUCCGGAUUUACUGGGUGUAAAGGGAGCGCAGACGGCUCUGCAAGUCUGAAGUGAAACCCCACGGCUCAACCGUGGGCUUGCUUUGGAAACUGCAGUGCUAGAGUAGUGGAGAGGUAAGCGGAAUUCCUAGUGUAGCGGUGAAAUGCGUAGAUAUUAGGAGGAACAUCGGUGGCGAAGGCGGCUUACUGGACAGCAACUGACGUUGUGGCUCGAAGGCGUGGGGAGCAAAC
rnacentral:rRNA from 1 species